UGAUCAUGUGACCACGGGGAGCUGCAAUGGUUAUAAGUGUGAAAAACGAUCGUGUCAUUUUUUUCAGUGCUAUUGUAACUUUGAACAGUCACUAAACAAAUGGUUAUAAGUCGAGGACUACCUGUUCCUAUCUACACCUACUAGGUUGUGAAUAAUACAGAAGUCCCCCCAAUCUUUGGGUGGAGGUGGUAGUUACAUUUGAAAAUUGAAUGUAAAAAAUUGAUUUUAGUGUGUUUGGCCGCUCUUGGCAAACACAGGUGUGUGUGUGUGUGCUAUUUCCCAAGUGCCAUUAUGAUGCACUCAUUUAACAGGACAGUAUUCGGUGAUAGAGACUUGCCUCGGUACAAUUAAACUUUCAGUUUUUAUCUGUCUCUCCAGGGUUGAGUGCAGGAUGGUCAAAAAAGUCAAGAUGGCCAGCGUGACAUUGUAGUUGAAGCUCUCCCCAUUUAUAAGUGCACUUAGCACGGUGGCCAUUUUGACUUUUUUUCACCACAGCUCGCAAACACCUUAGGGUCCUGAGGUGUCAUGCCAGGUUUCAGCCUCAGGAUAUAUGACAUUUGGAAACACUAUUUUGCAUGUAUUCUUGGGUAGCAUUUAAUAGCUUUACUUCAGGGACUAACAACGCUUUUGUAUGAUUAUAGUUAAUUCAGAUUAUUCAUUUCUGAGCUGGCACAAUCCAUUUCUCCUGUUAGCUUUCAUAGGAUGGUUUUUGUUCAGAUAUUUUAACCAUUUGCCCUCUUGCUCUCCCUUUUAGAUUAUUCUUUCAUAGCACUGCCUGAUGUCUUUUCAUUCUGAAACUGCACUUAAUUCUAGAGCAGAGUUGAAGUCCACAAGUCAUAAAAGAGCCAUCGUUUCUCACCCCUGUUGUGGAGAAUCAAAGCCUUUUUUAAUAUGGGGUUCACAAAAUAAUGAAAGAAAGAAGAAGUUUCUUAUUAUUGAGGGUUGUUCUCCCUCACUUCAAUUUAAUUUGUCAUUGGAGUUUAUUACAUAUGUGUAAAUGAAUUCAAUUCUCAUUUUUUUUUUUUUGAGUUUUGGGGGUUUUGCCAGAGAGGAGGGGAAAAUGGAGAUUUAAUCUGAUUCAAAUGAAGGCAGAUGUAAUCAAGCUGUCCGCACUUCCUGAAUCGCAGUAAGAUUCAAAACAGAGAAAUUGUACUUUGAAAUUAGCACUUUCUGAAAGAAACUGAGCAAAAAAUAUUUAUAUUGCUGGAGUUACCAAAAAAAGAUAUUAACAACAGACUAUUUAUGUUACAGUCACUUAAAAUGCAUACAGUUUUUAAUGUUGAUUUUAAACAGUGUGCAGGGAUGCUGCAAAGGAGAAUUUAAAAUUAAUGUUAGACUGGGUGAAUGAGAAACUGAUUAUUUGGGGAUGUGUUUCUCCUUUUACAAAUAAAUUCAAGGAUGGUCAUAAACAAUGUGCCAAUGCAGGGUAAUAAUUAACCCGGGUGUACUGAAAAUCUGGAUUUAUUUAUGUUUGGCUUAGUGUAUGUUGGACACAAAUUUCUAUAUUUUACUGUGUUGUUGAAACCAAUACUGCUGCAUAGGUAGUCCUUAACUUAUAACCACAAUUGGGAUCAGAAUUUCCAUCUACUAACUAAAGUGGCUAUUAAGUAAAUUGGACUUGAUUUUAUUAUCUUUUUUGCCACAUUUUUAAGCAAAUCACCGCACUUAUUAAGUGAAGUAAAUUCAAUUUCCCUCAUUUAUUUUGCUUGUUAGUGGAGCAACUUGCUUCCAGAAGUUGUGGAUGCUCCAUCACUGGAGAUUUAUAAGAAGAGAUUGGACAACCAUCUGUUAGAAAUGUUAUAGGGCUCCCUGUCUGAGCAGGGGGUUGGACUAGAAGACCUCUAAGGUCCCUUCCAACUCUUUUUUUCUGUUAACUUCAUAGAACGCCAACUAACUGUACUUCAUACUAAUGCCCAUCCAUCAUCAAAAAAAAUCCAUUUGCAGAUGGAAAGAUCCUGUUGUUUUAUUUCCUUAUAGAUCUGAAUCAAGCUCAAAACUGCAUUUAUCAACUGUUCUGUGUAUUUUCAAUGUUACUAUUUUCAAUUUUCUGCUGAUUUUUUAAAACGGUCUUUUUAGGCUGUUGAAUAAGAUUCUGAACAUAUUUGGGAUAGCAAAGUCUUUUUAAUAAUUACAUUUAUGCACUGAUUACCCUG